UCAGUGACAGGAAAGUACGGGACUCUAACCAUCAUCUAUAAAUGAGUGCAGCAACAAAUGUUUAAAAAGGAACCAAGUUAGUCUUCUCACCUUUUCACAGAAAAAUAGAAGAGAAGAUUCGUGGAUCAAUUAGGAAGUUUAUGAUUACAAACGACUGGGAGUUUCAGUGAGAGUCAUGAGACUUUUUUCGCUGAGAAUGUUAUG
rnacentral:lncRNA from 1 species